rnacentral:rRNA from 1 species
UACGUAGGCAGCGAGCGUUGUUCGGAGUUACUGGGCGUAAAGGGUGCGUAGGCGGUUGUUUAAGUUUGGUGUGAAAUCUCCCGGCUCAACUGGGAGGGUGCGCCGAAUACUGAAUGACUAGAGUGCGGGAGAGGAGAGUGGAAUUCCUGGUGUAGCGGUGAAAUGCGUAGAGAUCCGGAGGAACACCAAAGGCGAAGGCAGUGUCCUGGGGAGUACCUGACGCUCAGGUGCGAAAGCCAGGGGAGCGAACGGG